rnacentral:lncRNA from 1 species
CCUCACUUACUAGUCACUGGACCCUGAUCAGUGAUUCACUCCCUCUAAGCCUCACUCUUCUCAUUCUAUGCUUGUAUAAUCCUUGCCAGAAGAGAAUCUGCUUCAAAAUUUUGUCAUGAAGAAUAACAGUAAUAACUGCCUAUGAAAACUCAGCUGUACAUAAUGCCUGAAACACGUGCUGGGGACUGAAUGCUGCCCUCCAAUAGGAUGGAGACUGAAUGCUGCCCACCAGCAGGACAGUGCCUCCAUGGAUGUGACCAUGGCAGAGAAAAACCCAGUGAGGCUCCAGAUCUGAGCCUGUCUCCCUAGGAAAAGCAAACCCAGGAUCUGGGUAUCCUGCCUGCUCAUUUUCCCUGAAUGAAGAUGAACUCUUCCCCAACCCUUAUAGGGAGGAAUUGCACAGGUGACGGCUGCCUUGGACGCUCUUGGUUUAGCACGUGCUCCCCGGUCUCCACAACAGGCAGUGGGAUAUUCAGUACCACUGCUUGUGAGUAGAACAGUAAUGCACUCCUAUUUAGGGUGGUUGGUAAACACAGCUGCUGUCCACAGUAUUACAGGAAAAUCAUUUGCAUCAUUCGUUUGGGUGGGACCCUUCUGCUUAGUACUAUGUCUCAGUAGAGAGAUUUCUCCAGGGUGGACGCUGUGGUUUCUGCUCCGGAAGCCAAGUAGGAAGGGGCCUCUUCCACCCUUCCUUCCUCUCCCUCCUCUCUCUUCCCUGCCCCCUUCUCUGCCAUCUUUGUCACUUGCUCACUAAGUCCCGUCAGCUGGCUCAGAUGCUGAGAUCCUGUAUGUGACAGUAGAAUAGACACUUAAAAUUGGGACACUUUAGGUCUCACUUAUUCCUGAGAUAUCAAAAAAGCUGGGAGGGCAGCAUCAGCUUCAAGCCUUGUCCCUUUUUUGAAGCAAAAAAAGAACCAAUGAAGCUUGGAGCUAUUUCCUGAAUCAGAGAGAAAAUAGGCAUAAUAAAAUUAAAUCGGAUCCAUAUUAAUUUAUAAGUAAACGGAGCACAUCCCCUCAAGUAAAGUAUGUAGAAAGCCUCCUGGAACAGAAAUCUUCAUAAAACCUGUCCGGAAUUUUCCCUCUCACCUCAUUUUUACACACACACCUGUCUGAUUCUAUUCCACCACAGGGCAAGCAGUUAGAAAGAGGAAGGUGUUGGCUUAAUGAAAAAGAAAUUGUUGUGAUGGCAACUCUUUCAAAGACGUUUCCUCUCUAUUCCCACACAGCUGUUUUCUCUUCUUGUUCUUUUUCUUCCUUUUCUCUUUCUCUUCAUCUCUUUCCUUUGAACUCUUUAGUCUCAUCUAUUCCUUCACUUCUGUAAUCUCUCCUGCCACCUCUCAUAUUCAUCCUGCUUGCUUUCCUCAUCACUGUCAUAUAAUCAUUCAUUCACUACACACUUAUCAAAAGCACUUGCAUGUUCACUGCAGCACUAUUUACAAUAGCAAAGUCAUGGAAUCAACUUACGUGCCCAUCAAUGGUGGACUGGAUAAAGAAAAUGUGGUACAUAUACACCAUGGAAUACCAUGCAGCCACAAAAAAGAACAAAAUCAUGUCCUUUGCAACAAAAUGGAUGCAACUAGAAGUCAUUAUCCUAAGCAAAUUAAUGCAGAAACAGAAAACCUAAUACUGCAUGUUCUUAUAAGUGGGAGCUAAACCUUAGGUGCACAUGGACAUGAGGAUGGCAACAAUAGAAACUGGAGACUACAAGGGCUGAAAAACUCGUUGUUGAAAUCAUUCUCUAGAUAUAAAUCUAUCAAACAUUGUACAGAAAAAAUGAGGAUGAUAGUUUAUUUGUCAGUCAAUGAUAUUUCUUCAGUGUAUUUGAUUAAAGUGUACAAUAACUGGUAAUACAUUACUGGUGUCAGUGUUUAGUUGGGUUGAUAUAAAAAAUAAAGCAUUUUGUAA